UACGUAGGGUGCAAGCGUUGUCCGGAAUUAUUGGGCGUAAAGAGCUCGUAGGCGGUCUGUUGCGUCGGCUGUGAAAACCCGGGGCUCAACCCCGGGCCUGCAGCCGAUACGGGCAGACUAGAGUUCGGCAGGGGAGACUGGAAUUCCUGGUGUAGCGGUGAAAUGCGUAGAUAUCAGGAGGAACACCGGUGGCGAAGGCGGGUCUCUGGGCCGAUACUGACGCUGAGGAGCGAAAGCGUGGGGAGCGAACAGG
rnacentral:rRNA from 1 species